GCACCUAUAGUUUAUCCAAAAUACUAUCUUUGUAAGUUAGAGAAGCCUGCUAGGAGCA
rnacentral:tRNA from 1 species